AUAAAGGUUUUUUUAAAAACCACAUCUACACUCUCAAAUUUCUAU
rfam:Tupaia chinensis contig73057, whole genome shotgun sequence.